rnacentral:rRNA from 1 species
AGCAGCCGCGGUAAUUCCAGCUCCAAUAGCGUAUAUUAAAGUUGUUGCAGUUAAAAGCUCGUAGUUGAAUUUCGGGGUUAGUAGGUCGGUCGUGCCACAGGUACGUACUGGUCUCACUGAUUCCUCCUUCCUGAUGAACCGUAAUGCCAUUAAUUUGGUGUUGCGGGGAAACUGGACUGUUACUUUGAAAAAUUAGAGUGUUUAAAGCAGGCUAACGCUUGAAUACAUUAGCAUGGAAUAAUGAAAUAGGACGUUCGAUCCUAUUUUGUUGGUUUCUAGGAUUGACGUAGUGAUUAAUAGGGAUAGUUGGGGGCAUUAGUAUUCAAUUGUCAGAGGUGAAAUUCUUGGAUUUAUUGAAGACUAACUACUGCGAAAGCAUUUGCCAAGGAUGUUUUCAUUAAUCAAGAACGAAAGUUAGGGGAUCGAAGACGAUCAGAUACCGUCGUAGUC